GAAAGCAGCUUGCUGCCUUGCUGACGAGUGGCGGACGGGUGAGUAAUGUCUGGGAAACUGCCUGAUGGAGGGGGAUAACUACUGGAAACGGUAGCUAAUACCGCAUAACGUCGCAAGACCAAAGAGGGGGACCUUAGGGCCUCUUGCCAUCGGAUGUGCCCAGAUGGGAUUAGCUAGUAGGUGGGGUAACGGCUCACCUAGGCGACGAUCCCUAGCUGGUCUGAGAGGAUGACCAGCCACACUGGAACUGAGACACGGUCCAGACUCCUACGGGAGGCAGCAGUGGGGAAUAUUGCACAAUGGGCGCAAGCCUGAUGCAGCCAUGCCGCGUGUAUGAAGAAGGCCUUCGGGUUGUAAAGUACUUUCAGCGGGGAGGAAGGGAGUAAAGUUAAUACCUUUGCUCAUUGACGUUACCCGCAGAAGAAGCACCGGCUAACUCCGUGCCAGCAGCCGCGGUAAUACGGAGGGUGCAAGCGUUAAUCGGAAUUACUGGGCGUAAAGCGCACGCAGGCGGUUUGUUAAGUCAGAUGUGAAAUCCCCGGGCUCAACCUGGGAACUGCAUCUGAUACUGGCAGGCUUGAGUCUCGUAGAGGGGGGUAGAAUUCCAGGUGUAGCGGUGAAAUGCGUAGAGAUCUGGAGGAAUACCGGUGGCGAAGGC
rnacentral:rRNA from 1 species